GACGAACGCUGGCGGCGUGCUUAACACAUGCCAGUCGAACGAUGAUGCUCCAGCUUGCUGGGGUGGAUUAGUGGCGAACGGGUGAGUAACACGUGAGUAACCUGCCCCCUUCUUCGGGAUAAGCUUGGGAAACUGGGUCUAAUACUGGAUAUUCUGCAAUUGUCGCAUGGUGGUUGUGGGAAAGAUUUUUUGGUGGGGGAUGGGCUCGCGGCCUAUCAGCUUGUUGGUGGGGUGAUGGCCUACCAAGGCGUCGACGGGUAGCCGGCCUGAGAGGGUGACCGGCCACACUGGGACUGAGAUACGGCCCAGACUCCUACGGGAGGCAGCAGUGGGGAAUAUUGCACAAUGGGCGCAAGCUUGAUGCAGCGACGCCGCGUGAGGGAUGACGGCUUUCGGGUUGUAAACCUCUUUCGAUGGGGAACAAGGCCAUAUUUUUGUGUGGUUGAGGGUACCUGUAUAAGAAGCGCCGGCUAACUACGUG
rnacentral:rRNA from 1 species